UACGGGGGGGGGCAAGCGUUGUUCGGAAUUACUGGGCGUAAAGGGCUCGUAGGCGGCCAACUAAGUCAGACGUGAAAUCCCUCGGCUUAACCGGGGAACUGCGUCUGAUACUGGAUGGCUUGAAUUCGGGAGAGGGAUGCGGAAUUCCAGGUGUAGCGGUGAAAUGCGUAGAUAUCUGGAGGAACACCGGUGGCGAAGGCGGCAUCCUGGACCGACAUUGACGCUGAGGAGCGAAAGCCAGGGGAGCAAACGGG
rnacentral:rRNA from 1 species